ACGCUGGCGGUAGGCUUAACACAUGCAAGUCGUGCGAGAAAGUAUCUUCGGAUAUGAGUAGAGCGGCGGACGGGUGAGUAACGCGUAGGAAUCUACCUAGUAGAAGGGGAUAGCCCGGGGAAACCCGGAUUAAUACCGUAUACCUCCUUCGGGAGAAAGAAGGCCUCUCUUUGAAGCUUUCGCUACUAGAUGAGCCUGCGUAAGAUUAGCUUGUUGGUGAGGUAAAGGCUCACCAAGGCGACGAUCUUUAGCUGGUCUGAGAGGACGAUCAGCCACAUUGGGACUGAGACACGGCCCAGACUCCUACGGGAGGCAGCAGUGGGGAAUAUUGGACAAUGGGCGCAAGCCUGAUCCAGCCAUACCGCGUGUGUGAAGAAGGCCUUCGGGUUGUAAAGCACUUUAAGCAGGGAGAAAAAGUUAUAAGUUAAUACCUUAUAACCCUGAUGUUACCUGCAGAAUAAGCACCGGCUAAUUCCGUGCCAGCAGCCGCGGUAAUACGGAAGGUGCAAGCGUUAAUCGGAAUUACUGGGCGUAAAGCGCGCGUAGGUGGUUUGUUAAGUUGGAUGUGAAAGCCCUGGGCUUAACCUAGGAACUGCAUCCAAAACUAACUCACUAGAGUACGAUAGAGGGAGGUAGAAUUCAUAGUGUAGCGGUGGAAUGCGUAGAUAUUAUGAAGAAUACCAGUGGCGAAGGCGGCCUCCUGGAUCUGUACUGACACUGAGGUGCGAAAGCGUGGGUAGCGAACAGGAUUAGAUACCCUGGUAGUCCACGCCGUAAACGAUGACAACUAGCCGUUGGGAGACAAUGUCUUUCAGUGGCGCAGCUAACGCUUUAAGUUGUCCGCCU
rnacentral:rRNA from 1 species